rnacentral:rRNA from 1 species
CAGCCUGAUGGAGCACACCGCGUGAGUGAAGAAGGGUUUCGGCUCGUAAAGCUCUGUUGUUAAAGAAGAACACGUAUGAGAUUAACUGUUCAUACGUUGACGGUAUUUAACCAGAAAGUCACGGCUAACUACGUGCCAGCAGCCGCGGUAAUACGUAGGUGGCAAGCGUUAUCCGGAUUUAUUGGGCGUAAAGAGAGUGCAGGCGGUUUUCUAAGUCUGAUGUGAAAGCCUUCGGCUUAACCGGAGAAGUGCAUCGGAAACUGGAUAACUUGAGUGCAGAAGAGGGUAGUGGAACUCCAUGUGUAGCGGUGGAAUGCGUAGAUAUAUGGAAGAACACCAGUGGCGAAGGCGGCUACCUGGUCUGCAACUGACGCUGAGACUCGAAAGCAUGGGUAGCGAACAGGAUUAGAUACC